AUGGGCCUGUCAGUGGAGGUAUAGAGAGUAGUGGAGGAGAAUGGGCCUGUCAGUGGAGGUAUAGAGAGUAGUGGAGGAGAAUGGGCCUGUCAGUGGAGGUAUAGAGAGUAGUGGAGGAGAAUGGGCCUGUCAGUGGAGGUAUAGAGAGUAGUGGAGGAGAAUGGGCCUGUCAGUGGAGGUAUAGAGAGUAGUGGAGGAGGAUGGGCCUGUCAGUGGAGGUAUAGAGAGUAGUGGAGGAGAACAGAGGAGAAUGAGCCUGUCAGUGGAGGUAUAGAGAGUAGUGGAGGAGAAUGAGCCUGUCAGUGGAGGUAUAGAGAGUAGUGGAGGAGAAUGGGCCUGUCAGUGGAGGUAUAGAGAGUAGUGGUGGAGGAUGGGCCUGUCAGUGGAGGUAUAGAGAGUAGUGGAGGAGGAUGGGCCUGUCAGUG